rnacentral:rRNA from 1 species
CACGUAGGGCGCAAGCGUUGUCCGGAAUUACUGGGCGUAAAGCGUGCGCAGGCGGUUCGCUAAGACCGAUGUGAAAUCCCCGGGCUUAACCUGGGAACUGCAUUGGUGACUGGCGGGCUAGAGUAUGGCAGAGGGGGGUAGAAUUCCACGUGUAGCAGUGAAAUGCGUAGAGAUGUGGAGGAAUACCGAUGGCGAAGGCAGCCCCCUGGGCCAAUACUGACGCUCAUGCACGAAAGCGUGGGGAGCAAACAGG